CAAGCUGAUAUAUGCAGUUCCUGGACGCCAGGUAUAUAAACUAAACACCUGGGGCUGUAUCAUCACACUUUACUCCUUUCCCUUGACGGCAUCAUAACUGAGGCUGGUGAACAAUGAAUACCAAGAGCAUCGUAUUCCUGCUGGUGCUGGUGAUCUUGGCCGUUUCAGUUGUCAAUGGAAGCAGAGAUAGACGCUGCUCACAACUCGGCGGGAUCUGUUUAAGUGAUUGUAAUUACGUAAAUACAGUACAUGGCGGAUUAUGCUUCGGCAGUGAUGUCUGUUGCCGGUUAAUACAGACUUACGGCUAGUCCACAACGGCAGCCAGACCUGACGGACGCCACCAUGACCUAUGCGACAAAAACACCCUCAAAUGUUUUUGGCGAUCAUCGACGAAACUUCUGUUUUGACAUGCAACUAGAAAACAUGCUUUGCUUGUGAAAUGUUUUUUUGAGGUUAUUUGAAUUCUGCCACAAUCUUUAUUUUCUUGAUUAUGCACAUUUUAAGUAAUGAUGAAGAAUAUUAGUAAAAUCUAAUUUAACUUGAGACUUGUGUCAUUAGCAUGUACAUCUGGCAUCUGCCUACUCUUGAAGUGUAUUGUCUUGUUUAUUUCCUUAUCUAGAUAUAUUAAUAAUGUUUAUCUUUGUGUUCAGAGCUUGAUAAUAAACUUGCUAUGCUAUAA